rfam:Stegodyphus mimosarum contig97107, whole genome shotgun sequence.
GCCUUCGUGGUGUAAUGGUCAGCACACUCGGCGCGCAUUCGAGAGGUCCAAGGUUCGAGUCCCGACGAAGGCA